CAAAAGUUUAUUUCUCGAAAUUUCUGGAGAUAACUCUUUUUCAAAGAUUUUCACAAGCAGAGAAGUUGACGACAUCCUUAAAAUAUGAUCCUGGAAAGCGCUUGAAUCCGUAUGGAAUAAUCGUUGAGAAUGUGGAUGUGGAGAAACCAUCAUUGACAGAUUGAACAGCUAAAGAAGUAGCAACAUAAAACAGAUAAGUUCUCUCAUCUACUGUCAGACUCUUACUUUUCUUUAAGUUCUAUGAAAUUCCAAAAAGAUCAAAGGCAGGCAUUAAUCUAAUAGUGUUCUGCCAGAAUCUUAUUUGGAGACAUUGUCCCGACUCCCUAUUGCGUGAGGCUUAGACCCAGAGGAAAUUUAAACCAUGACCCUUGGUUUGGUAGUGCACGUCUAUGCAAGAGAUGUUUGGGGGAUGGAAAGUAAAACACACGGCUUUUCAAAAACAACCGUCGGCUUAAAAAGGUCUUUUGACAAAGAUUGUGAUUGGAAUCUGUUUUCAUCGCAUUAGUAGUACCCACGGCUUGCCAAAAAAGGUCUUUAGUACCAACGGCUUAAAAAGAAAUCUUUAGACAGAGGCUUAAAAAAAAAGUCUGCUUACAAGAAAGUCUUUUGAAAGAAAAUGACUAUGUCUAAGGCUAUGACAUCGUUGGAAGGAUUCAUCAACACAAAGGAUCAGAUUUGGUUUUGAACUUGUUGAAUGGAAAUAACGAUCACAAGUCAUGAAAACUAAUUUUCCCGAGUCCCGUUGCGUGAAAUGACGAUCACAAGUUACUCAAAUGUGAUUGGAAAAUCUUGCUACCCACGGCUUUACUAAGGGGUUUUAGUACCAGCGGCUUAAAAAGAAGUCUUUAGACAGAGACUGUGAUUGAAAACGUCUUCAUCACAUUAGUACACACCGCUUGCACAAGAAAGUCUUUUGAUAAAGACUGUGACUGAAUAUGUUUUCAUCACGUUUGUACCCACGGCUUUCCAAAAAGGUCUUUAGACAAAGACCUUUAACUACCAACGGCUUUAAAAGUCUUUAGACAGAGGCUUAAAAAAAGUCUUUACCCACGGCUUGCAAGAAUGUCUUGACAAAGACUGUGAUGAAAAUGUAUUCAUUACAUUAGAGUACCCACGACUUAGAAAAGACCAAUGGCUUAAAAAAAAAAUUUAGACAAAGGCUACGAGAUCGUCCCAAUGGCUCUAAAACAGUAUUGGUUGGUAGUGCAUGUCUAAGCAAGAGACGUUUGGGGGGGAUGGUAAAGUGAAAUAUGCUUUAGUACCCACGGCUUUACAAAAACAACCAUC